GGUUGUGAUCAUAUCAGCACUAUUGGACCGGAUCCCAUCAGAACUCUGCAGUUAAGCGUGCUUGGACGAGCGUAGUACUAGGAUGGGUGACCUCCCGGGAAUUCUUCGUGUUGCACCCC
rnacentral:rRNA from 1 species